rnacentral:rRNA from 1 species
GACGAACGCUGGCGGCGUGCUUAACACAUGCAAGUCGAACGCUGAACCCGCUUCGGUGGGGGAUGAGUGGCGAACGGGUGAGUAACACGUGGGCAACCUGCCCCCGGCUCUGGGAUAACUCCAAGAAAUUGGGGCUAAUACCGGAUGUGACCGCUGGCCGCAUGGUCUGGUGGUGGAAAGGGUUUCCGGCUGGGGAUGGGCCCGCGGCCUAUCAGCUUGUUGGUGGGGUAGUGGACUACCAAGGCGACGACGGGUAGCCGGCCUGGGAGGGUGACCGGCCACACAGGGACUGAGACACGGCCCGGACUCCUACGGGAGGCAGGAGGGGGGAAUAUUGCGCGAAGGGCGGAAGCCGGACUGAGCGACGACGGGUGGGGAUGACGGCCUUCGGGUUGUAAACCUCUUUCAGCAGAGACGAAGCGCAAGUGACGGUACCUGCAGAAGAAGCACCGGCCAACUACGUG